UACGGGGGGGGCAAGCGUUGUUCGGAAUUACUGGGCGUAAAGGGCUCGUAGGCGGCCAACUAAGUCAGAUGUGAAAUCCCCAGGCUUAACCUGGGAACUGCAUCUGAUACUGGAUGGCUUGAAUCCGGGAGAGGGAUGCAGAAUUCCAGGUGUAGCGGUGAAAUGCGUAGAUAUCGUAAGGAAGACCAGUGGCGAAGGCGGGUCUCUGGACAGUUCCUGACGCUGAGGCACGAAGGCCAGGGGAGCAAACGGG
rnacentral:rRNA from 1 species